GGAUGUGAGGGUGAUCUGGCUGCGACAUCUGUCACCCCAUUGAUCGCCAGGGUUGAUUCAGCUGAUCUGGCUGGCUAGGCAGGUGUCCCCUUCCUCCCUCAAUGAUCCAUGUGCGUCCCUCCUGAAGCUGUGCGCUCGGUUGAAGAGGAUGACCACCCCCGAUAGAGGAGGACCGUUCCUUGGUCAAGGGUAUACGAGUAGCUGCGCUCCCCUGCUAGAACCUCCAAACAAGCUCUCAAGGAUGGUUUAUCAAAGCUCAUGUAAGCCAUGUUUUCCCUGGAAUCUCCAGUGGUACAGCAU
rnacentral:snRNA from 1 species